rnacentral:rRNA from 1 species
CAGCAGCCACGGUAAUACGUAGGUCCCGAGCGUCGUCCGGAUUUAUUGGGCGUAAAGCGAGCGCAGGCGGUUAGAUAAGUCUGAAGUUAAAGGCUGUGGCUUAACCAUAGUACGCUUUGGAAACUGUUUAACUUGAGUGCAAGAGGGGAGAGUGGAAUUCCAUGUGUAGCGGUGAAAUGCGUAGAUAUAUGGAGGAACACCGGUGGCGAAAGCGGCUCUCUGGCUUGUAACUGACGCUGAGGCUCGAAAGCGUGGGGAGCAAACAGGAUUAGAGACCCGAGUAGUCCCUGUCUCUUAUACA